rnacentral:rRNA from 1 species
CAGCAGCCGCGGUAAUACGAAGGGGGCUAGCGUUGUUCGGAUUUACUGGGCGUAAAGCGCACGUAGGCGGAUCGAUCAGUCAGGGGUGGAAUCCCAGAGCUCAACUCUGGAACUGCCUUUGAUACUGUCGAUCUGGAGUAUGGAAGAGGUGAGUGGAAUUCCGAGUGUAGAGGUGAAAUUCGUAGAUAUUCGGAGGAACACCAGUGGCGAAGGCGGCUCACUGGUCCAUUACUGACGCUGAGGUGCGAAAGCGUGGGGAGCAAACAGGAUUAGAUACCCCCGUAGUCCCUGUCUCUUAUAC